rnacentral:rRNA from 1 species
AUUGAACGCUGGCGGCAUGCUUUACACAUGCAAGUCGAACGGUAACAGGUUAAGCUGACGAGUGGCGAACGGGUGAGUAAUGCAUCGGAACGUGCCCGAUCGUGGGGGAUAACGCAGCGAAAGCUGCGCUAAUACCGCAUACGAUCUGAGGAUGAAAGCGGGGGACCGUAAGGCCUCGCGCGAUCGGAGCGGCCGAUGUCAGAUUAGGUAGUUGGUGGGGUAAAGGCUCACCAAGCCGACGAUCUGUAGCUGGUCUGAGAGGACGACCAGCCACACUGGGACUGGGACACGGCCCAGACGCCUACGGGAGGCAGCAGUGGGGAAUUUUGGACAAUGGGCGAAAGCCUGAUCCAGCAAUGCCGCGUGCAGGAAGAAGGCCUUCGGGUUGUAAACUGCUUUUGUACGGAGCGAAAAGGCUCUCUCUAAUACAGGGGGCUCAUGACGGUACCGUAAGAAUAAGCACCGGCUAACUACGUGCCAGCCGCCGCCGUAA